AUGCUGUCGGUCGAGGCUUGGCCUCAAGGGAGUUUCACGACUGAGUUCUCCAAGGAAAAGUUAAUGCAUGAGCUUCCCAGACGGAAGCCCCAACCUCCCAUUCCUUGGGAGCCCGCGGACUCUGUGGAAGGAGGGAUUCCGAGACCACAGGCGAGGAGGGCAGACCGCGGGCAUCUCCGCAGCCACCCCGAGGGAGGGCCACCUCUCGUGCCAGCACAUCCCGGGACAGCCGGGCGCACCGACACCGCAAGGUAGCCGCAGAGGCGCUGCCUAAGCCAACUCUCCUGCCCUUUGAGCUUGCCCUCUUUGCCGCCUGGAAAGGAGUGGUAUUCUCUCUGCGGUAAUGAAUAAGUCAUUGCUCCUUGCUUGCUUGUUCGCAGAAAACAUUUCACUGUCCUGGUUUCACUAUCCCUUAAGCCUCCUU
rnacentral:lncRNA from 1 species